rnacentral:rRNA from 1 species
AUUGAACGCUGGCGGCAUGCCUUACACAUGCAAGUCGAACGGCAGCGGGGGAGAAGCUUGCUUUUCCUGCCGGCGAGUGGCGAACGGGUGAGUAAUACAUCGGAACGUGCCCUGUAGUGGGGGAUAACUAGUCGAAAGAUUAGCUAAUACCGCAUACGACCUGAGGGUGAAAGUGGGGGACCGCAAGGCCUCAUGCUAUAGGAGCGGCCGAUGUCUGAUUAGCUAGUUGGUGGGGUAAAGGCCUACCAAGGCGACGAUCAGUAGCUGGCCUGAGAGGACGAUCAGCCACACUGGGACUGAGACACGGCCCAGACUCCUACGGGAGGCAGCAGUGGGGAAUUUUGGACAAUGGGCGAAAGCCUGAUCCAGCAAUGCCGCGUGUGUGAAGAAGGCCUUCGGGUUGUAAAGCACUUUUGUCCGGAAAGAAAUGGCUCUGGUUAGUACCUGGGGUCGAUGACGGUACCGGAAGAAUAAGGACCGGCUAACUACGUGCCAGCCGCCGCAGUAA